rnacentral:rRNA from 1 species
GAUCAGGUAGGGAUACCCGCUGAACUUAAGCAUAUCAAUAAGCGGAGGAAAAGAAACCAACAGGGAUUGCCUCAGUAACGGCGAGUGAAGCGGCAACAGCUCAAAUA